UCUGAGCAUGCACAUUGGAGCACUGGAGGGUUGUAUGGAGCCAAAAAGGUGCCAAAAGGUUGAACGUAUGUAUCAUUAGGAUCCAUACGUAAAGAAAAUCCAUUCGUAAAUUGUUAGGAUCGUAAGAAAAGCCAUGAGUGAAAGGACCUUUGAUGGAACUGCUGAACCGUGUCAGAGGUUGAGAAGAUGAUGUACCUUAAGAUGAGCCACUACACCUGGAGCAAGGACGAACCGGAAACAGAUACGGAACGGUGCCAUGGCCUCGUCUGCCUCAACUAAGAGACACAACAAACCCAUCAGGCCCUGAAGGGAAAAGCUAAAGCAAGAACCGUCAUGGCUUCUUCACUGGCCGACCUCACACACGACAGCCUUAUCUCCAACAGGGCUGACAACAAACAGAAAAUAUAGG